rnacentral:rRNA from 1 species
UACAGAGGUCUCAAGCCGUUGUUUCGGAUUCAUUGGGCGUAAAGGGGUGUGUAGGUGGCGCGCUAAGUCGGGUGUGAAAUUUCGGAGCUUAAACUCCGGAAACUGCAUUCGAUACUGGCGUGCUUGAGGACUGGAGAGGAGACUGGAAUUCAUGGUGUAGCAGUGAAAUGCGUAGAGAUCAUGAGGAAGACCAGUGGCGAAGGCGG